GUUAUCCGGAAUUAUUGGGCGUAAAGCGUCUGUAGGUUGCCUAACAAGUCUGUUGUUAAAGGUUAAAGCUUAACUUUAAAACUGCAGCAGAAACUGCUAGGCUUGAGUACAGUUGAAGUAGAGGGAAUUUCCAGUGAAGCGGUGAAAUGCGUAGAUAUUGGAAGGAACACCAAUGGCGAAAGCACUCUACUAGACUUUUACUGACACUCAGAGACGAAAGCUAGGGUAGCAAAUGGGAUUAGAUACCCCAGUAGUCCUAGCCGUAAACGAUGGAUACUAAACAUUGCGUGCAUCGAUCCGCGUGGUGUUAUAGCUAACGCGUUAAGUAUCCCGCCUGGGGAGUAUGCUCGCAAGGGUGAUACUCAAAGGAAUUGACGGGGGCCCGCACAAGCGGUGGAGCAUGUGGUUUAAUUUGAUGCAACGCGAAGAACCUUACCAGGGUUUGACAUGGUGUUAAUUCUUUGAAAAAAGAAGUACCGUUCGCGGUAGACACACACAGGUGGUGCAUGGCUGUCGUCAGCUCGUGUCGUGAGACGUUGGGUUAAGUCCCGCAACGAGCGCAACCCUUGUUUUUAGUUACAAGUAAUCUAAAAAGACUAUCGGUUAUAAACCGGAGGAAGGUGGGGACGACGUCAAGUCAGCGUGCCCCUUAUACCCUGGGCUACACACGUGCUACAUUGGGUAGGACAAUGAGACGCCAAACCGUGAGGUCGAGCUAAUCUACAAACCUACUCUAAGUUCGGAUUGGAGGCUGCAACUCUCCUA
rnacentral:rRNA from 1 species